AGACCCGAAACCCGGUGAUCUAGCCAUGGGCAGGUUGAAGGUUGGGUAACACUAACUGGAGGACCGAACCGACUAAUGUUGAAAAAUUAGCGGAUGACUUGUGGCUGGGGGUGAAAGGCCAAUCAAACCGGGAGAUAGCUGGUUCUCCCCGAAAGCUAUUUAGGUAGCGCCUCGUGAAUUCAUCUCCGGGGGUAGAGCACUGUUUCGGCAAGGGGGUCAUCCCGACUUACCAACCCGAUGCAAACUGCGAAUACCGGAGAAUGUUAUCACGGGAGACACACGGCGGGUGCUAACGUCCGUCGUGAAGAGGGAAACAACCCAGACCGCCAGCUAAGGUCCCAAAGUCAUGGUUAAGUGGGAAACGAUGUGGGAAGGCCCAGACAGCCAGGAUGUUGGCUUAGAAGCAGCCAUCAUUUAAAGAAAGCGUAAUAGCUCACUGGUCGAGUCGGCCUGCGCGGAAGAUGUAACGGGGCUAAACCAUGCACCGAAGCUGCGGCAGCGACACUGUGUGUUGUUGGGUAGGGGAGCGUUCUGUAAGCCUGUGAAGGUGUGCUGUGAGGCAUGCUGGAGGUAUCAGAAGUGCGAAUGCUGACAUAAGUAACGAUAAAGCGGGUGAAAAGCCCGCUCGCCGGAAGACCAAGGGUUCCUGUCCAACGUUAAUCGGGGCAGGGUGAGUCGACCCCUAAGGCGAGGCCGAAAGGCGUAGUCGAUGGGAAACAGGUUAAUAUUCCUGUACUUGGUGUUACUGCGAAGGGGGGACGGAGAAGGCUAUGUUGGCCGGGCGACGGUUGUCCCGGUUUAAGCGUGUAGGCUGGUUUUCCAGGCAAAUCCGGAAAAUCAAGGCUGAGGCGUGAUGACGAGGCACUACGGUGCUGAAGCAACAAAUGCCCUGCUUCCAGGAAAAGCCUCUAAGCAUCAGGUAACAUCAAAUCGUACCCCAAACCGACACAGGUGGUCAGGUAGAGAAUACCAAGGCGCUUGAGAGAACUCGGGUGAAGGAACUAGGCAAAAUGGUGCCGUAACUUCGGGAGAAGGCACGCUGAUAUGUAGGUGAAGUCCCUCGCGGAUGGAGCUGAAAUCAGUCGAAGAUACCAGCUGGCUGCAACUGUUUAUUAAAAACACAGCACUGUGCAAACACGAAAGUGGACGUAUACGGUGUGACGCCUGCCCGGUGCCGGAAGGUUAAUUGAUGGGGUCAGCGCAAGCGAAGCUCUUGAUCGAAGCCCCGGUAAACGGCGGCCGUAACUAUAACGGUCCUAAGGUAGCGAAAUUCCUUGUCGGGUAAGUUCCGACCUGCACGAAUGGCGUAAUGAUGGCCAGGCUGUCUCCACCCGAGACUCAGUGAAAUUGAACUCGCUGUGAAGAUGCAGUGUACCCGCGGCAAGACGGAAAGACCCCGUGAACCUUUACUAUAGCUUGACACUGAACAUUGAGCCUUGAUGUGUAGGAUAGGUGGGAGGCUU
rnacentral:rRNA from 1 species